AGUCGAGGGGCAGCAUCAUCAAAGCUUGCUUUGAUGGAUGGCGACCGGCGCACGGGUGAGUAACACGUAUCCAACCUGCCGACAACACUGGGAUAGCCUUUCGAAAGAAAGAUUAAUACCGGAUGGCAUAAUUUUCCCGCAUGGGAUGAUUAUUAAAGAAUUUCGGUUGUCGAUGGGGAUGCGUUCCAUUAGGCAGUUGGCGGGGUAACGGCCCACCAAACCUACGAUGGAUAGGGGUUCUGAGAGGAAGGUCCCCCACAUUGGAACUGAGACACGGUCCAAACUCCUACGGGAGGCAGCAGUGAGGAAUAUUGGUCAAUGGACGAGAGUCUGAACCAGCCAAGUAGCGUGAAGGAUGACUGCCCUAUGGGUUGUAAACUUCUUUUAUACGGGAAUAAAGUGAGCCACGUGUGGCUUUUUGUAUGUACCGUAUGAAUAAGGAUCGGCUAACUCCGUGCCAGCAGCCGCGGUAAUACGGAGGAUCCGAGCGUUAUCCGGAUUUAUUGGGUUUAAAGGGAGCGUAGGCGGGUUGUUAAGUCAGUUGUGAAAGUUUGCGGCUCAACCGUAAAAUUGCAGUUGAUACUGGCGACCUUGAGUGCAACAGAGGUAGGCGGAAUUCGUGGUGUAGCGGUGAAAUGCUUAGAUAUCACGAAGAACUCCGAUUGCGAAGGCAGCUUACUGGAUUGUAACUGACGCUGAUGCUCGAAAGUGUGGGUAUCAAACAGGAUUAGAUACCCUGGUAGUCCACACAGUAAACGAUGAAUACUCGCUGUUGGCGAUAUACAGUCAGCGGCCAAGCGAAAGCAUUAAGUAUUCCACCUGGGGAGUACGCCGGCAACGGUGAAACUCAAAGGAAUUGACGGGGGCCCGCACAAGCGGAGGAACAUGUGGUUUAAUUCGAUGAUACGCGAGGAACCUUACCCGGGCUUAAAUUGCAACUGACGGAUCGGAAACGGUUCUUUCUUCGAAAGUUGUGAAGUGCUGCAUGG
rnacentral:rRNA from 1 species